rnacentral:tRNA from 1 species
GGACCUUUAGCUCAGUUGGUUUAGAGCAGACGGCUCAUAACCGUGAGGUCGAUGGUUCAAGUCCAUUUAGGCCCA